rnacentral:rRNA from 1 species
UACGAAGGGGGCUAGCGUUGCUCGGAAUCAUUGGGCGUAAAGCGCACGUAGGCGGAUUCUUAAGUCGGUGGUGAAAGCCUGGAGCUCAACUCCAGAACUGCCUUCGAUACUGAGAGUCUUGAGUCCGGGAGAGGUGAGUGGAACUGCGAGUGUAGAGGUGAAAUUCGUAGAUAUUCGCAAGAACACCAGUGGCGAAGGCGGCUCACUGGCCCGGUACUGACGCUGAGGUGCGAAAGCGUGGGGAGCAAACAGG